rnacentral:rRNA from 1 species
GACGAACGCUGGCGGCGUGCCUAAUACAUGCAAGUAGAACGCACAGUUUAUACCGUAGCUUGCUACACCAUAAACUGUGAGUUGCGAACGGGUGAGUAACGCGUAGGUAACCUGCCUGGUAGCGGGGGAUAACUAUUGGAAACGAUAGCUAAUACCGCAUAAUAUUAAUUAUUGCAUGAUAAUUGAUUGAAAGAUGCAAUUGCAUCACUACCAGAUGGACCUGCGUUGUAUUAGCUAGUAGGUGAGGUAACGGCUCACCUAGGCGACGAUACAUAGCCGACCUGAGAGGGUGAUCGGCCACACUGGGACUGAGACACGGCCCAGACUCCUACGGGAGGCAGCAGUAGGGAAUCUUCGGCAAUGGACGAAAGUCUGACCGAGCAACGCCGCGGGAGUGAAGAAGGGUUUCGGAUCGUAAGGCUCUGUUGUAAGAGAAGAACGGGUGUGAGAGUGGAAAGUUCACACUGUGACGGUAUCUUACCAGAAAGGGACGGCUAACUACGUG